UGACGGUAACUUACCAGAAAGGGACGGCUAACUACGUGCCAGCAGCCGCGGUAAUACGUAGGUCCCGAGCGUUGUCCGGAUUUAUUGGGCGUAAAGCGAGCGCAGGCGGUUUUUUAAGUCUGAUGUGAAAGGCAUGGGCUCAACCUGUGGACUGCAUUGGAAACUGUUUUUCUUGAGUGCCGGAGGGGUAAGCGGAAUUCCUAGUGUAGCGGUGAAAUGCGUAGAUAUUAGGAGGAACACCAGUGGCGAAGGCGGCUUACUGGACGGUAACUGACGUUGAGGCUCGAAAGCGUGGGGAGCAAACAGGAUUAGAUACCCUG
rnacentral:rRNA from 1 species